rnacentral:rRNA from 1 species
GAUGAACGCUAGCGGGAGGCCUAACACAUGCAAGCCGAGCGGUAUUGUUUCUUCGGAAAUGAGAGAGCGGCGUACGGGUGCGUAACACGUGUGCAACCUUCCUUUAUCUGGGGGAUAGCCUUUCGAAAGGAAGAUUAAUACUCCAUAAUAUAUUGAACGGCAUCGUUUAAUAUUGAAAGCUCCGGCGGAUAGAGAUGGGCACGCGCAAGAUUAGCUAGUUGGUGAGGUAACGGCUCACCAAGGCGAUGAUCUUUAGGGGGCCUGAGAGGGUGAUCCCCCACACUGGUACUGAGACACGGACCAGACUCCUACGGGAGGCAGCAGUGAGGAAUAUUGGUCAAUGGGUGCAAGCCUGAACCAGCCAUCCCGCGUGAAGGACGACUGCCCUAUGGGUUGUAAACUUCUUUUGUAUAGGGAUAAACCUACCCUCGAGAGGGUAGCUGAAGGUACUAUACGAAUAAGCACCGGCUAACUCCGUG